rnacentral:rRNA from 1 species
AUUGAACGCUGGCGGCAGGCCUAACACAUGCAAUUCGAGCGGAGCGGCGGACGUGUGAGUAAUGCCUAGGAAUCUGCCUGGUAGUGGGGGAUAACGUCCGGAAACGGGCGCUAAUACCGCAUACUAUCAGAUGAGCCUAGGUCGGAUUACCUAGUUGGUGGGGUAAAGGCCUACCACGGAGACGAUCCGUAACUGGUCUGAGUGGAUGAUCAGUCACACUGGAACUGAGACAAGGGCCAGACCGCGACGGGAGGCGUCAGUGGGGAAUAUUGGACAAUGGGCGAAAGCCGGAUCGAGCCAUGCCGCGUGUGUGAAGAAUGUCUUCGGAUUGUAAAGCACUGUAAGUUUUGAGGCGUUACCAACAGAAUAAGCACCGGCUAACUUCGUGCCAGCAGCCGCGGUAAUAG